rnacentral:miRNA from 1 species
CACCGGAUGAACUAUUUUGGUU